rnacentral:rRNA from 1 species
GUCUUUUUGAAUAAUAUUUAUUUAAAGUCUAAUCUGCUCACUGAAUUAAAAUUUAAAGAGCCGCAGUAUUUUAACUGUGCAAAGGUAGCAUAAUAAUUUGUUUUUUAAUUGAAAACUAGAAUGAAUGAUUGAACGAGAUAUAUACUGUCUCAAUUUUAAUUUAAUAUAAAUUAAUUUUUUAGUUAAAAAGCUAAAAUUGAUUUAAAAGACGAGAAGACCCUAUAGAUUUUUAUAUAAUUAUCAAUUAAUUUAUAUAUAUAUAAAUUUAUUUAUAUUUAUUGAUAAUUGUAUUUUAUUGGGGUAAUAAAAAAAUAAAAAAAACUUUUAUUAAAUAAAAACAUAAAUUAAUGAAAAUUUGAUCCAAAUUUAAUGAUUAAAAGAUUAAAUUACCUUAGGGAUAACAGCGUAAUUUUAAUUUUAAGUUCUUAUUGAAAUUAAAGAUUGCGACCUCGAUGUUGGAUUAAGAAAAAAUUUAAAAGUAGAUUUUUAAAUUUUAGGUCUGUUCGACCUUUAAAAUCUU